CUCUCGCGCCUCCCCUUUCGCAUCUGGCGCUAUUCCUCACCGCCUCGUCUCCCGCGAGGUGAAAAGGCCGGCGACAGUUCAGAUCGCAGCCCCUCUACUCCGCGCUAGUUUCCCCACUGCCCUAUCUUCCUUCUCCCCUUCUCUAUUUGAGGGAACCAACUUUCAUAUCUCUACCGGCAGCAAGAUGAGAGGGACGUCGCCGAAGAACAGCGAUGGUGGGCAUUGAGGACGUGAAGCCCUUCAUGAAUCUUGGUCAGUAGUGAUCCAGCGAGGUCAAGAUGCUAAUUCUUCAACAACCAUAACAAUGCAUCAAUACAACACAAAGUUUUCCUCUUAAGGGCACGGCAUAACAAAGAAAUAACAAACUAUGCAUAGGGAGUUACCAUUUCCUUCAAGCUGCAUUGCAGGUCUAUGCUUUCUCACUUUUCUUAAUUUUUGAUUUCACAAACUUUCAUAUUAGCAUGUGACCAGCAGCCACCAUAUCAAUAUGAAGGAAGUGUUAUUUCGUGCAGUCUUAAUGCACGAGGAAACCAGUCUUGGUGGUAUCUUGGAUGCACCUCUUUGAAGAAAGGUCAUUCCCAAGAGGAAAUUGUUGUAUCUGGUCCAGUUGUUUGGUCAAAGCUACAAAAUCAAGGUAUUGAAUUCCGGAAUGGGACGUUCAUCCUUCAGCCCUAAGACAUGAAGGGGCGUAAACUGCCAAUUUAUUGUUGAGUUGGGAGAUAUUGGUGGACAGCUAUUACGAGCAGUGGUGGACCGGUAGCACAUAUCAUGUGCUUAUACAAAAUUAAAAAUCUAUUAGAAACCAUUUUUGAAACGGUUAAAGAUCUUAGUGAUUGCAAUAUAUACGUGGUUUGUUUCCUGAAA